rnacentral:rRNA from 1 species
GAUGAACGCUAGCGGCAGGCCUAACACAUGCAAGUCGAGGGGUAACAGGGAUUGCUUGCAAUCUGCUGACGACCGGCGCACGGGUGCGUAACGCGUAUACAAUCUACCUUUUGCUAAGGGAUAGCCCAGAGAAAUUUGGAUUAACACCUUAUGGUUUAUAGAUAUGGCAUCGUAUUUAUAGUAAAGGUUACGGCAAAAGAUGAGUAUGCGUUCUAUUAGCUAGAUGGUAAGGUAACGGCUUACCAUGGCCACGAUAGAUAGGGGCCCUGAGAGGGGGAUCCCCCACACUGGUACUGAGACACGGACCAGACUCCUACGGGAGGCAGCAGUGAGGAAUAUUGGACAAUGGAGGGAACUCUGAUCCAGCCAUGCCGCGUGCAGGAAGACUGCCCUAUGGGUUGUAAACUGCUUUUAUACAGGAAGAAUAAGUCCCUCGUGAGGGAUGAUGACGGUAUUGUAUGAAUAAGCACCGGCUAACUCCG